UAUAACCAAAAAUGCGUACAGGCGGAAAUCUUGACAUUAGGCUUGGGGGAAAAUAACCCCAGACGCCCCAAACUGUUCACUCUCUUCUCAGCAAUUCUGACAAUGUAUGGAUUUUCUUUUUAUGAAUUUUCUCAAUUUUAGGGUUAUAUUUUAUUAAUUAUGAAAAACAACGUGAAUUGUAUUCAUUUUCCAACUCUUGGUCGUUCUUAUCCUUUCCUUUUUUAUGCCCAUACGAUGAAAUCAACUGGGAUUGUUUGAAUUUCGACGUUUUCGCAUUUUUUAAUUGUGUUAAUUCAUCUUGAUGUAGUGAUCUGGAGAUCUUGAUCCUAUUUUUAUGCACGCAUUUUCUUGUUAAUUGAUUUCAGUGUCCAGAUUCAGUUACAAUUUCUUGACUUUGGUUUAUGUUUUUGGGUCUUCAACCUUUAGAAAUCCCCGGGGGGGGGGGGUGUUUACCAAAGAUCUUGCUCGGUACCUUUGGUUUCGAAAUCAAUCAUAUUUAAAAUUGUUUUAUACGUAUUUUUCAACCAGUAGAUUUUUCGUCCUAUUUUGUUCUUUAGCUGACUUAGUUGGCAAAAUUAUAUAAUUAGGUAUGCUUAAGACAUCGAUGUGGUUUUUUCUUGCUAACAUCGAGAAAAUUGUAUACGCCAAAUGUGGGCAUUCUUGAUUACUUAUUUUUUGGUGUGUAGGCAGUAGAUAUUGGUUUGAUAUUCAUAUUAGCGAAAAGAAGGGUUUAUAGCGAGACUACGUCAUUGAACUUUUGCCUUGUUUUAGUUUAGACAAAAAUAGACAUUAAAUUGUAUAUGUGUAGAAAGAUCAGUUGUUUUAAAUUGUUGUCAUUGGUUCAUUAUUUCACCUUGAAAACUGGCUAAUUAUGUUUUACUACUGCAGCUUGUUAUGAUUACAAGAUAUUGAAUUCUUCAUUUAUGAUCCAAGAGAGAAAUGUUUUCUCUUUUUUAUGGACUGUGGAAGUACGCCUUCAGCAAGACGGAGUUUCAUGUUCUCAUACUCGGAAUCGACAAGGCUGGAAAAACGGUAAUGUGCUCCAGUAUUUUUCGUUUUCUGCAAACACAAGAUUUCUUCAUUUCUUCUGAAUUAUUGUUCUCAGCUACAAAAUUCAAUGGAGGAAUUGAUACUUGAUUAUAGAAUAAUC
rnacentral:lncRNA from 1 species